UACGGGGGGGGGCAAGCGUUGUUCGGAAUUACUGGGCGUAAAGGGCUCGUAGGCGGCCAACUAAGUCAGACGUGAAAUCCCUCGGCUUAACCGGGGAACUGCGUCCGAUACUGGAUGGCUUGAGUUCGGGAGAGGGAUGCGGAAUUCCAGGUGUAGCGGUGAAAUGCGUAGAUAUCUGGAGGAACACCGGUGGCGAAGGCGGCAUCCUGGACCGACACUGACGCUGAGGAGCGAAAGCCAGGGGAGCGAACAGG
rnacentral:rRNA from 1 species